UUCGUGGUUAUGAAGCUGUGUUCGUAAAGUCACUGGAGAAAGAGUUCGAGUGUCUCAUCUGUUAUUUGUCUCUCAGAGAGCCACGUACUACAGACUAGUUACGGUCAUCUCAUGUCCAAAAGCUGCGUGGACGAAAUCAUAAAGUCGAAACAAUUCUAACUAGAGUACAAUACAUAAUAGACUAUGUUGUUAUUUGCUAUGAGGAGAUGGAAAGUUUACAUGUGCAGUGGAUACGAAGGUGCUGAGCAAAAGAGAUGUUUUUCCGGAUACAAUUCACAAGGCUAAAGUUCUUGAUCUAAAAGUGAAGUGUGACAAUCACAGUAAUGGAUGUACAUGAAUUGGAAAGCUCCGUAAUCUGCAGAUGCUGCUAAAAGAAGUCAGUGAUCACGAAGACAAGUGCAGCAAAGAGCACAUGCGUUUGCUCCUAGAGAAUGUUCACGAGCUGAAAGGCCAGCUCCAACGUCGACCUUCUGAAUCUUGCAAGUUAAUUUGGAAAAUGAAAAACUGGAGCAAAACCCUUCAAAACGCCAAAAUGAAAAACCACAAGUCUGCAUACCAGUGUCUUCUA